UUCAUAUUUAAGUUCUAAGAAGUUAUCUGUACUUACUGUCUCUACUUAAUCUCUCAUGUGCUUUUCAAAUGCACUGAAAUUUGGGUUCUGUCUUCAUCAGUCCAUCAAAGUAGCUUUUACUAAAAUCAUCAAUGAUCUCCAAUCCAUUAUCUAGUUUUCAGUUCUUAUCUUACUUGUCUGCCCCUGGCACUGUUCUUCACAGUUGUACUCGCUCCUUUUUGCUUCCAAAUUACAUUUUCCUCAUCUGGUACUGAGCUCCCUGUUAACUUUCUUUACUCUUGGUUUUAGCAUUUCCAUUUCCUUGAAUGUGCCAGAGCUCUGUCCUCUGGGUCUUUGUACAGGUUGUUCCUUGGGCCUACAAUACUCAUUUCCAAACUUUUCACUUAACUAAGAAUUGCAGGCCUCAGCAUUAAUGCUACCUGAAGCUUUCUCUAAUCCUCAUUUAAAUUAGUUCUGUUACAAACUUUCAAGUUGCCAUAUUCUUUCAUAACAUUAACACAAAUUUUGUAAACAUGUAUUUGGUGGUUUGUCUAAUUUCUGUAUCCAUACUACGUUUAACCUCUGUGAGGACAAGGGAGCAUGUUUCUUGUUCAGAAUUAUAAAUUAGUCCAGUCAUAGUCCCUGGCACAUAAUAUUGAAAUUAGUGAAUCGUGUGUAUCUUCAUAAACAUACUGUUUGUCCUGGUAGAGCAAAAAUUGUCAACCUGGGAUUCAUGGACAACCAAUGAUGUGAAAAAAACCCAGUAAUUUCCUGCAAGAUUCUGUGCUUUUCCUUGGAGGGAAGUCCCUGAAUUUCAUGGGACUUUCAAAAGAACUGAGACAUUCUGACCCCCAGAAAGAAAGACCCACCACAGUGAUAAAAGAGUUCCAAAGCUUCACCUCCAGCUUUUUACUGUCUCUCCCACCGCCAGUAUCUGUGACACUGCCGUAUCAACAUACAGCAAUCUCCUAAUUUGAAUAUAAUCAAGAACUUUUCCACUACCUGUUUGGAUGGAGAAACUGAUUAAAAAAACGUUUCUAGAAAGCAUACCUAGUUAAGUGCCAGUGUCUUAAACCACUAAUAUGAUCAGUGAUAUAUCUACUCUAUCAGGCAGAAUGACUUAGAGAAAUUUCUCAAACCUGAGUUAGGAAAAAAUACAUAGUGGACUCCUAAGUCCCUUAACAUCUGCUCAUAAAUUAAGUCAACCAUUACAUUGAGGGAUUAAACCAGGGACCAGAAUAUCAAAUGUCUACACAUGUCAGCCAAAGAAGAGAUGCAGAGGGUUGGGUGGGGCUGGAAGCAGAUAGGAGGGGUCUCCAGGGACUAUAGGAGUACAAUCAACUUGAGUAAUCACCUGCUUUUUUCCCCAAACCCUGUGUGGAAUGCAGCCAGCUAGCUGGUUUAAACCAGUUCAUGACAGACCUCAGCAAUUUACAGAUGGAUCCCAGUGUACUUUCCUCAUUACCAUGCUAGUAUCUUCACCCUGGGAGAUGCUAUAGCUUCAUUACCAUAACAUGUGACCUGUGUGCUGAAAUAACGACUCACUGCAUCUGCACAACUGCAACCCCUUUCCAUGCAACGACAUACCCUCUUCCCUCUCUAUCACCCCAUAAAACCCUCCUGUCACUUUCCUGCUUUGGAGACUAUGCCCGGUGCUUUAUUUGUGACAAGUAAUAAAACUAUUGCUC
rnacentral:lncRNA from 10 species